GCCCCUGCCCGCCCGGGAGAGGCCGGGAGGAGUGGAACCGGUUCUGGGGCCUUCGGAGGCUUUGGCGGAGCAGGGCGGGGCGAUACUCGGAACCGGCCUGUCGCAAACACCCGCCUCCGCCCCGGCCGGUCCCAGGGCCUCCACACUGUGCACUGCAUUGCCACCUAGGACCUCUGAGGAACUAGAUAUUUACAUUCGGAAGGUUGAGAACCACUGCUAGAUUCUAGAGUCUGGGAAGCUGAAGAGGAGAGGAUGCCAGCGCUGUGAGUAGGGGCCAUCCUACCGCCGAGAAGAGGAGGAGGGCGAGGCCCGGCUGCUGCUCCUCCCGCCAAGUUAACACGUUCAGCAAAGGCCAGAGGGUACGUUAGGUCAAAAUACAUGUGACCUCAAUGAAUUAUUCAGCUUUAUUAAAGUACUAGAGGCCCUCGCAGCCCUGGCUUCAUCCGGAAGGUCAUCUGGAAGGACAUCCAGAAGGUGGUGCUAGUCCUCGCUCUUGAAACCUUUGUAACUAUUAAGGCUGAAGUGCCAUUUAAAGAAAAAAGAAGGCAAAGAAAUGAGCUGCGAGAGCCAUGCCCCAGCCUCUUCAGUAGCUGGCCGAAGAGAUAAGGUCCCCUGAGGUCAGAGGUGGUGCCCAGGGACAUAGGCACCAGGCCUGGGGGCAAGUGGGCUUGAAAAACAAAAGUAAGUGUUAUACAGCAUGGUGAAUAUAGUUAAUAAUACUGUACUGCAUAUUUGAAAGUUGUUAAGAGAUUAGAUCUAAAAGGUCUCAUCACAAGAGAAAAUAAUUUUUUUGUAACUAUGUGUGGUGAGGGAUGUUAACUAGAAUAUCAUGGUGAUCAUUCUACAAUGUAUACAAAUAUUGAAUCAUUAUGUUUAUGCCUAAAACUAAUAUAAUGUUUUAUGUCAAUUACACUUCAGUUUAAGAAUUUUUUUAAGUGCUUUUGCAAAGGACCUAUGCUUAUAUGCAGCACUUUGUCAUCUCCUCUCAUACCAUGUCACUUAGCAGCUAUUAAUUCUGAGUAAGGGGAAGUGGAGGGGAAUUAAAGGCACAAAUGAAGUGAAUAUUUUGAAGCCCACGAUGUAGGAGAUGUCCAGUUCCACAUGACGCUCCCAGUGCUAAGUAGCAGCAACAGCCAGACACAAAAGUAUUUUGCUCCACAUCAUUAGACAUCAAUUAUAUGUUGAGAACAUGUAUUCAUGCUACAGGAAGAGUGGCUUUUGCAGACCUCACAGUGCUUACAAGUUACUGUGAGGUGCUUACAAAUACAUAUUUCAGUGAGAUUUUUCCAUGAUUAGACUCAACGCAUUGAAAAAACAAACAGAAGAAGAGAAACAGGUUGUUCUAAAAGCUGUUUUACUUAUUCCUCUGACUUUCCUAUUUGAUCGUUUUCUUGCAAACUCCUUUGUAGGUUAAAGUUUCUUUUAGUAGCAGUGCCUUGGUAGAAGCUGCUUUUCAAUAAGAAGGAGGGAUUAAACUGCCCUCUUCCUAAUUGCUUUCUGAAGCCCUCCCUUCUUCCUAAUCUCACUGUAGUUUCUUAAGAAAUGAGGCACUUACAUAUCCCAAGGGGUUAAAUGGAGAUUUCUGCUGCAGAGGGUAAAGUAGGGAGUUUGCUGCAUUAAUCAUUGAAUAACAUCAAUCACACAUCCAGUUGGGCAGUUAAAUUUCUGUUGAACAAAGUACAGGAGUACCUGGGGAAUGUCUCCCUCUUUGUAAGUGGUGUCAUUAGACAUCUGUCGUGAAGGCCUUGGGAAAAUAGAUUUGGGCCUGCAAACAAAGUCAUUUUAAUGCUGACACAAUGCUAGGCACAUAAUGAGUAAUAUUCUGUAAAAAUUAUUGAGUAAAAAAGAAUUCCAAAAUAAAUUAUUGUACCAGUUCCCUAGCCAGAUUGUUAAUUAUCUUUUAUCCAAACUUGUGUACUCACUGUAGCAAGAAUUGUAUUCCUUAAGCAUUAUUUUGAUUUUUCAUACUCAUUUUCAGAAACUACAAUAGGUUCAAACUUUUGCUCACAUAAAAUCUAUAUUGCCUGAUCCAUGUUGAAAGUUUUUCUAAUAACUGGUUCCCUUCUCCCUAAUUUCUCUUUUCUAAAAAUUAUUGUACAUUCAUAUCGUCUUUACUAGCCUAGAACACAUGUGAAUCUGCCUCAGAAUUUGCUUUUUAUAUCCAAAUGCUACUUUUGCCCCCUACAGUGCCCCCUCCCUCGCCUGUACCAUUCCAGAUCAGUCCCCUGUGCUCUUCCUGCCAUUUGUCAAUCCAGCCAGUUUGCAGAAUGUAAGCACAGAGAGUGUAUUUACAGUAAUAACAUAUAGAGUUUUAUUCCUGUUUUGCACGCCAAUUCAAUGAAGUCUUAAUUACCUUUAGUGGAAUAUAAGUACAUUGGAGGCAAAGGCCUUUACAACUUUCUCAUGCUCACCAACAUGAUUAACAUUAACAGGAUGCUUCAUGACCUAGUUAGUUUCAAGGGUAUGAUAACAUCUCAGAAAAGAUCAAAGUGACUUCAUUUAAAAUUUAAAAAAUAUAUAUCAUAUUGAUGGGUCAUAUCAAUAUAUUGUGUUAAUAAUGAAAAAGUGUCAAAUAUUUGCAAAUAAAUAUAAAAUUAUAAUGA